AUGUGCCACGCGUACACUCCGGUUCCGAGCGCGCUGUCCACGCCCACCUGGCGACUGCUCGCUACGUUUUUUGAGCC
rnacentral:sRNA from 2 species